rnacentral:rRNA from 1 species
GACGAACGCUGGCGGCGUGCUUAACACAUGCAAGUCGUACGGUAAGGCCCUUUCGGGGGUACACGAGUGGCGAACGGGUGAGUAACACGUGAGUAACCUGCCCACAACUUUGGGAUAACGCUAGGAAACUGGUGCUAAUACUGGAUAUGUGCUCCUGCUGCAUGGUGGGGGUUGGAAAGCUCCGGCGGUUGUGGAUGGACUCGCGGCCUAUCAGCUUGUUGGUGGGGUAGUGGCCUACCAAGGCGGCGACGGGUAGCCGGCCUGAGAGGUUGACCGGCCACAUUGGGACUGAGAUACGGCCCAGACUCCUACGGGAGGCAGCAGUGGGGAAUAUUGCACAAUGGGCGCAAGCCUGAUGCAGCAACGCCGCGUGCGGGAUGACGGCCUUCGGGUUGUAAACCGCUUUCAGCAGGGACGAAGCUUUUUGUGACGGUACCUGCAGAAGAAGCACCGGCUAACUACGUG